UACAGAGGGGGCAAGCGUUAUUCGGAUUUACUGGGCGUAAAGGGCGCGUAGGCGGCCAGCACAAGUCAGUUGUGAAAUCUCCGAGCUUAACUCGGAAAGGUCAACUGAUACUGUGCGGCUAGAGUGCAGAAGGGGCAACUGGAAUUCUUGGUGUAGCGGUGAAAUGCGUAGAUAUCAAGAGGAACACCUGCGGCGAAGGCGGGUUGCUGGGCUGACACUGACGCUGAGGCGCGAAAGCUAGGGGAGCGAACGGG
rnacentral:rRNA from 1 species